AACGUAGGAGACAAACGUUAUCCGGAGUUACUGGGCGUAAAGGGUGCGUAGGUGGCGGGGUAAGUCUGGUGUGAAAGCUCCGAGCUCAACUCGGAAAAGCAUUGGAAACUAUCCCGCUUGAGGGUCGGAGGGGAGACUGGAAUUCUCGGUGUAGCAGUGAAAUGCGUAGAUAUCGAGAGGAACACCAGUGGCGAAGGCGAGUCUCUGGACGACUCCUGACACUGAGGCACGAAAGCUAGGGGAGCAAACAGG
rnacentral:rRNA from 1 species